AGACAAACAAAAGAAUUAAGUAGGAGGAUAGUGGGAGGAGGGGUGUGACAUCGGUGGUCUUGCUUGGCUUUUCUAAAGAAACAAUAUUUAAGCCAAGAAUUUGAAAUAUGUGAAAUCAACCAUGAAAAGAAAAAAAAUAUUUGGGAAAAGGUCGGUUGUUCCAGGUAGAGAAGCGCACAUGGGCACAGACUCUGCGAUCACAAAACUGAUGACCUGGGAGAACCGAAAUGAGACCAGUGCGGCUGGAACUUGGUGGGAGAGCUGAGCACGCCUGGAGGGAGGCAGGGGUCGUGCACUCGGUAUGUCCACUGAGCUGAGUCUCAGGAACUGUCCUAGGAAGGACACAGCCGUGAGCCAAAGGACCCAGUUCCUCAGGUUUUUCUGAUGGAGAUGGAUAGAGGGUGAACAAACAAGACAAAGUGAAUCGUAACUUCGGGGAGUAAUAGUUGCCUCUGAGGAAAUAGAGCAAGUUCUAAAGAGAAAGAGAUGGAGUCUUAAUUAAGAAACGUUAUUUGAGGCAGGCCAUUCUGAGGAGGUUAUAUUUUAAAAGAGACAUAAAUUGAGAGAAUCAUCCAUACAGAAUCUAUGAAAACAGAUUUUAUGACAAAGAAUACAAGAGCAAAGGAAAUAAGCGUCGUGGCUGAUGUGAUCCAGUCUCCCUCCCUGGUUCCCCCGUUGGAUGUAAUCUACCGCCCUGACGGCUCAGACCCUCCGAUUCUCCCAGUUCCCCUGCAGUUUGCCUUCCUUGGCAACGACUCCACUGGAACAACACCAGCUUUACUCCGGGCCCCGGUGCUUGGCAAACUUAAGUUUCCUGCUCUCUGUAGACGGCUUUUCUGAAAUACGACCCUGGCUGAGCUGCAGACUGUGUUUGUGAUCUCGUGAAGAAUUUGCCCUCAGUAAGAGUGGCUACUGGCGAACUGUGCGGCAGCCCCACGGCCCUUCUAGAGUUGGGCGUAUUCCUCCUCAGUUGACGCUGUACCUAUUUCUGGGCCCAGAUCUUCAGGAUGUGUUCUGAUGCCUGCCAUCUAGAGGGCGCGAAGAACAACUUUAUGCCUUUUUUUGGGUGAACUUAAUUCAGAAUUUAUAUGCUGACUGACGGACAAAGCAGAACUCCUUUUUGAGCCUUUAGUGUAUGAGCACCAUGCAGUUUAUGAUAACAUGUACAUCUCUCUGCUUCUCUUCUCCACACUUACCCUUCAGCUCUGUGGUCCACGCGAUCUCAAUGACACUUUUCCACAAGGCUACUAAUAAGGGCUUCUCAGAAAAUAUAAUGGAUGGUUUGUAGUUCUUACUUCACUUGACUUCUCAGGAGUAUUUACCAACAUUGGCCAUUUUCUCUGCUGUGGUCUGAAUGUUUGUGUCCCCCCCCAAAUUCAUAUGUUUAAAGCCUAAUGCCCAACAGGAUGAUAUUAGAAGGUGGGGGUCUUCAGAGGUGAUUAGGUCGUGAGGCUGGGGCCCUCGUAAAUGGGAUUAGUGCUCUCAUGAAAGAGACCCCACAGAGCUCCUUAACCCCUUCUGCCUUGUGAGACACAAUGAGAAGUUGCAACCAGAAGGAGAGCCCUCACUCUGUGGUGCUGGCACCCGACCUCAGACCUCCAGUUUCCAGGACUGUGGGAAUAAGCAUCUGCUGUUCUGAGACACUCAGCCUAUGGCGUUUUCCUAUAGCGGGUUGAACAGACUAAGAUGUUCUCUUUAAAAACUUUCUUUUCUUCCUUUUUUGAUAUAUCAGUCUCCUAAUUUUCUUCCUAUUCCUCUGGAAUCUCCUUAAAGGUAUUUUUACCUGUUUCUAUCCCUCGAUUACGUGAAUUCUUCCACUUGAAGUUCUCAUAUGGUCAAAUUUUAUCCAUGCUCUCUGAGCAAUCUCAUCCAGUCCUGCCCCCUAAAUCACCACAGCUUUGCUGAACUCGCCCCUUCUCCCAGACAUUCUCCACAGGAAGUCCAUGUAUCCUGCUGGGUCUGAACAUCACCACUCGAAUCCUUGCAAAGAUCUGUGACUGAUCUUAACGCCUCUUCCCAACACUGCUUUCCUCCAGCGUUUCUCGUCUCAGUAAUGGCAUUACAUCCAGUUGCCCAAACGGGAUGCCUGUGGGUAAUUGUCCUUCUCCUUUACUGUCCUGCUCACCAGUAAAUUCCCAGGUCUUCAAAUUUUAUCUCCUCAAUGCCUGAAACCUACCUCCUUCCCUUUACUUGACUUUCACUCAUGGCUGAACCCAGGUUGCCAGCACAUUUUGCCUGAAUUACUCCCACGGUUUGGUAACUGCUUUUCCUUCUAACCAUAUCUGUGACCGUGUCGCUCUUUCAAAAUCAAUUUGAGACCCUUUGGGUUUCCUCGUAACCUCAGGAUACAGUUCUUCAUCGGGGACACAAAGGACCUUCCUGCACACCUUUCCAGGUUCUACUUAGCACUCAUUGCUCCCUGUGCAACCAGGUGUCUUACACACACACACACAGGCGCACACAUGCACAUACACACACACGCACACACGGGCCGCUCUCCCUCCUGCUCACUGGCUGGUUAGCUUCCACUGAUCUUUCACAUGUUGACUUGCAUGUGAAUUCCCUGGAGAAAACAUUCUUUGAUUCAUUGAGGCCCCUCCCACGUGCCAAGGAAGUGUUCUGGAAUGCUUCCUUCCGGGGAACUUACUUCAACAACUGUGCUUGCUUUAAACAAUCUCCCAACAGAUGGUCAGCUCAGUGAGGGCGGGCACAUAUCUCACUUCUUCACGCUCCUGUUUCUGGUUUCCAGCUCAGUUACAGACACUGAAUACUUAACAAAGCUACUUUUUUUUAAGCAAAUUGAGGAAUUGAUAUACUUUCCCAAAUAAUUAAGAUUUACACAAAAGCCCAUAAAAGUCUUCACUUCUUACUGAGGAAAGAAAAGCCACAGUCUUCAAAUUACAUUAUCCUACAAGAAUCUACACGAUCUAGUCCUCCCAUUGUUUGCCUUUUGCUUUUUGUGAGUUAUUUCCCUAGAUUUGUUUCCUUUGCUCGUUCCCAGAGCAGCCUCCUGGCCUUUCUCACGUGCACCAGUCACUUCCUUUAAGGUGGUCUUAUCUGUGGCUGUUCCCUCCGACUGGAAUGCUGUUCCCUUUGACAGCCACCUAACGUUCUCCCUCAGCUGCUUAAGACCUCUGUCUGUAUCUCAGCUUCUCAACAAGGUGUCUCCUGGCCCACUAUUUAAAAUCGCAACUCAUACUCCCCAAAACCCGGCAGAAAUGUGUGUAGUGUCUCUGAUUUAUUUUCCUCACUAGCAAUUAUCAACCUCUAAUUUACCAUAUUUUGCUGUGUGUUUGGUUUAUUUUAUAAACUCUCCCGCCUCCUUUAGAAUGUAAGCUGUCUGUGGGCAGUGGGAUUUUUCUCUGUUUAUUCACUGCUAUGUCCCUGGUGUCUGAACACGCUUGCCCUCAUUGAAUAAAUGAGUAAAUUAAUAAUAAAUAAAUAUCUAAUAACAUAAGUAACAAGUUGGUAAGGCUUUGAAUAAGUACUGACAGGGUAGUUUUAGCCUGUACAUAGAUAUGUCCUUUAAUACUUUUAAAAAUAUUCUCUUUUAAACACGAUUUGUGCUGUUUCGGGAAACAUUGUCACAGGCC
rnacentral:lncRNA from 1 species